GAUGAACGCUGGCGGCGUGCCUAAUACAUGCAAGUCGAGCGAACAGACGAGGAGCUUGCUCCUCUGACGUUAGCGGCGGACGGGUGAGUAACACGUGGAUAACCUACCUAUAAGACUGGGAUAACUUCGGGAAACCGGAGCUAAUACCGGAUAAUAUAUUGAACCGCAUGGUUCAAUAGUGAAAGACGGUUUUGCUGUCACUUAUAGAUGGAUCCGCGCCGCAUUAGCUAGUUGGUAAGGUAACGGCUUACCAAGGCAACGAUGCGUAGCCGACCUGAGAGGGUGAUCGGCCACACUGGAACUGAGACACGGUCCAGACUCCUACGGGAGGCAGCAGUAGGGAAUCUUCCGAAAUGGGCGAAAGCCUGACGGAGCAACGCCGCGUGAGUGAUGAAGGUCUUCGGAUCGUAAAACUCCGUUAUUAGGGAAGAACAAAUGUGUAAGUAACUAUGCACGUCUUGACGGUACCUAAUCAGAAAGCCACGGCUAACUACGU
rnacentral:rRNA from 1 species